GGCUCGAGCUCGCUCCAGCCCCUGUGACAUACCUUACUGUUGCCUCGGCGGAUCAGCCCGCUCCCGGUAAAACGGGACGGCCCGCCAGAGGACCCCUAAACUCUGUUUCUAUAUGUAACUUCUGAGUAAAACCAUAAAUAAAUCAAAACUUUCAACAACGGAUCUCUUGGUUCUGGCAUCGAUGAAGAACGCAGCAAAAUGCGAUAAGUAAUGUGAAUUGCAGAAUUCAGUGAAUCAUCGAAUCUUUGAACGCACAUUGCGCCCGCCAGUAUUCUGGCGGGCAUGCCUGUUCGAGCGUCAUUUCAACCCUCAAGCCCUCGGGUUUGGUGUUGGGGAUCGGCGAGCCUUUCUGGCAAGCCGGCCCCGAAAUCUAGUGGCGGUCUCGCUGCAGCCUCCAUUGCGUAGUAGUAAAACCCUCGCAACUGGAACGCGGCGCGGCCAAGCCGUUAAACCCCCAACUUCUGAAUGUUGACCUCGGAUCAGGUAGGAAUACCCGCUGAACUUAAGCAUAUCAGUGGGGCGGGAGGAAAUAC
rnacentral:rRNA from 1 species